GACGAACCGUGCGAACGUUGUUCGGAAUCACUGGGCUUAAAGGGCGCGUAGGCGGGCCUCCAAGUCCGGGGUGAAAUCUUUCGGCUUAACCGGAAAAGUGCCUUGGAUACUGGGGGCCUUGAGGGAGGCAGGGGCGGAUGGAACUUCCGGUGGAGCGGUGAAAUGCGUUGAUAUCGGAAGGAACGCCGGUGGCGAAAGCGAUCCGCUGGACCUCUUCUGACGCUGAGGCGCGAAAGCUAGGGGAGCAAACGGG
rnacentral:rRNA from 1 species